UGGGGAAUAUUGGACAAUGGGCGAAAGCCUGAUCCAGCCAUGCCGCGUGUGUGAAGAAGGUCUUCGGAUUGUAAAGCACUUUAAGUUGGGAGGAAGGGCAGUAAGCGAAUACCUUGCUGUUUUGACGUUACCGACAGAAUAAGCACCGGCUAACUCUGUGCCAGCAGCCGCGGUAAUACAGAGGGUGCAAGCGUUAAUCGGAAUUACUGGGCGUAAAGCGCGCGUAGGUGGUUCGUUAAGUUGAAUGUGAAAGCCCCGGGCUCAACCUGGGAACUGCAUCCAAAACUGGCGAGCUAGAGUAGGGCAGGGGGUGGGGGAAUUUCCUGUGUAGCGGUGAAAUGCGUAGAUAUAGGGAGGAACACCAGUGGCGAAGGCGACCACCUGGGCUCAUACUGACACUGAGGUGCGAAAGCGUGGGGAGCAAACAGG
rnacentral:rRNA from 1 species